AUUAUUAGGAUUUUCAGGUUGUUAAGAUUAUAUGUGAUUUGUUGAAAGUUUUAUGUGAUUGUUAGAAUUUUCAGAUUGUUAGGAUUAUAUAUGGGAUAUAGAAAGAAGCAGUAAAUAAGUAAAAGACGGUGAAUGAUUUACCACCUAUGAAGCACGGAUACUUCAAAUUUCAUGCCGUACCCGUAUCUGAUACGUAUCGGAUAUCGAUACGCGCCCGAUACAU
rnacentral:lncRNA from 1 species